GUUCAUCGUUAUCACUCUAGUGUUAUUGUUAUCAUGUGUGUUAGAGGCGCACAAUAUAAUUUAAUUUUAGUGGUGUCCUCGGGAUUCCCAUAUGCUUGUUUGCCAUUCACCUAGGGACCAUUUUUGAUCCGAGGACACCACAAGGGUUACAAUUGUAAUGCCAAUUAAAUUGCCUCGACUGAAUAACACAACAAUGUGUUGCCUUUUUUUUAUUGCAUGUGCUAAGGAUGCACACUUCAUUGAACUUUAUUCUCAAUCAUGUCCCACAAUUAAAUUAACCUGAUCAUUUGCAGACAAACAGGAGGAUCUUGAAAUCUAUACAACCACUUUUUCAGGUAUCUGUGAGGAGCCUAGCAGGACUGUGGACAAGCUGGAGACAGGGCAGAGAGGACUGACUGAGACCAGUGUAAAGUCAGUUACAAUCGUCUAACUGGCAGGAAAUGAGAGCAUGAAUUACAAUUUCACCAUCUUUCAUGGAAAGAAAAGGCCUCAGUUCAAUAUUUAACCACUAAGUUAAAUAUGUCAAAUAUCACAUCAAGAUUUUUUGCAUAGGGUUGGAUGCUGGACAGAUGAAGCUGAUCGCAAAGCUGAGGGCACUCAAAGUGCUCAGUUUAAGUAGAAAAGAAAUUUAAACAACAGUUUAAAAGUGAAAGCAGUGCUCUGUGGAUUUAAUCCUGUGUUAGGUUUUGGUAACUGCACUGAAUUUAGGUGAAUAAGGAGGACCAACUUUAUUUUGAUCCAAAUAUUUGUACAUUAGUGGGGAAGUUAAAGUUUGUAUCCAAAGUUGCAGAAAAGACAAUAGCAUUGUGUUUACAAAUUAAAAAAGUGCGAGUAAAAUGGUUACAUACUGUUUCAAACAAAUAAACUAAGAAAAAUAUUGAAAGUUGUAGCAAAAAGAGGUAAAAUAAGACGGCAGAUUACAAGGUUUAAAUGAACUGAAUUGAACCCUACACGAGAAAAAGCUGAGUAAUUAAAAAAUAAAUGAAAGAAUCAGAAAAUAUUGAAUGUAAGCUGAUAUUCUUUAGGGGACUGGGAAGACUUGAUACUAGAACUGUGACUUAAACAAGUCCCUACUUACUAAGGAAAGUAUGAAUUACAUUCCAGGCUCCUACACCAGGUAGGUGCUGAUAUGCAUUUAUAUGUGAAGGUUUUGGUAAUAUCUCCUUAAACAUUUGUUUUCAUGUUGGCUUGAAAUACAAUAUCAAUGUUGUACUGCAACUUAAGUAUGCGUUUAAAUGUAAUGCUUAGGAGAGGCAAAGCGUGAUGUGUAUGUAAAUUUUAAUAUGUAUGUAAUUUUGUAUACUUUAAAUAAAGUGUUUUUUUAAAAAAAACAAAAACAAAACCAAAGCGUGAUAGCCACAUGUUGGACCAGCACAUCUAUUACGUGCUUUACCAUGAUACUGGGCUAUUAUUCCCAGUAUGCACAAAACAGGUCUUAGAUCCGGAUCUUUGAAGUGGACGAUGGGAUCCCCACACACACACACACACACACAGAGAGAGAGAGAGAGAGAGGUAGCAGGAAGAGAGACGAGUAAAACAAUAGCGGCAAGUGGGUAUAAAAAGAUUUAUUUUUGACAUAUAUGACCUGACAGGGGAUUUCUUUAAAUCACCCUGCCGUUCUUCAGCUGAGACAUCUGAGUUAGAAAACACACAAACACUGCAGUUCUUUUGCUCGCGAGGACGGUCACAGAGCGCUCGCACAGGAGACACUCGUGAACUCGCACUUUGUCACCGUCUGCGUUCUUUAUUUGUACAAGAUAUUCUGUGUGUGUGUGUGUAUGUGUGUGUGUGUUACAUAGAUAACAACAUCACGCCAGUAGCGGGACUUCCCCUUUUCUAUAUCUGUAUGUUGUCGUAAAAGAGCGGAGCUUGGUCUUCUUCUACAUCUAAAUGUUCAGAACAACAGGAUGCGGACAACUGGUUUACUCAAAUUCUACUUAAAGAGUGGAUAGCAUCAAGGAUGUGAGACUUGAGGGUCCUGCGUACUAUCGUCACUGUUCCUAGGACUGCAUUCUUACCAGCUUUGUACAGCCAUUGGUUUCUACUGGAUAAAGUAGUCACUAAACACAUGUUUCUAUCUCUAUCUAAAGAUAUAGAGAUAGAAAGAGAUAUAUAGAUAUUACUGGUCAAAUGUUUGGGAUCAGAUAUGAAGUUUGUCUGUAUAGGAAAUUUAGCAAAUGAGCAGGAAAUGCUGACAAUGUCGGAGUUAGAAAUAAUGAUUUCAGUGGAAAUCAAAUCAUGAAUGUGUUCUUCCAACUUUGCCUUCCUCAAAACAAACACCUCUUUCAGUAAUUACGGCCUGGCAGAUAAUUCUACAUGUCAAUUUUUCAAGGUAAUCUGAUGAGACUUCACCCCCCAAAGUAAUCUGUGCACCUGUUCCUGUACCUCAUUACCAUCACUAGUUAAGGUAGUGGUUAACCUUUGGUCUUUGCUGGAUUGUUGAACUAGUCUCAAUUAGUAAAGCCUGACUCCUUGCCUUUUGCUAACCCAUAACCCACGAAAUUGCUGCGGUACUUAGUGCAAACGUACUGUCAUAUAACUCUUAAAUAGACAUAAAAAUAACAAUUAAAAGUGCUAAGUAGAUAGAUAUAUACAUGAGUGCAGGUGGUGAUCA